UACGAAGGGGGCUAGCGUUGCUCGGAAUUACUGGGCAUAAAGGGUGCGUAGGCGGCUUGUUAAGUCAGGGGUGAAAGUUUUCGGCCCAACCGGAAAAUUGCCUUUGAUACUGGCGAGCUGGAGUGCGUGAGGGGUGACCGGAACGAGUGGUGUAGCGGUGAAAUGCGUAGAUAUCACUCGGAAGGCCAACGGCGAAGGCAGGUCACUGGUGCGCAACUGACGCUGAGGGACGAAAGCUAGGGGAGCGAAUGGG
rnacentral:rRNA from 1 species